GUUAGGAAUAUUGGACAAUGGGCGCAAGCCUGAUCCAGCCAUGCCGCGUGAGUGAUGAAGGCCUUCGGGUUGUAAAGCUCUUUAGCCGAUGAUUAUAAUGACUGUAGUCGGAAAAUAAGCCCCGGCUAACUUCGUGCCAGCAGCCGCGGUAAUACGAAGGGGGCGAGCGUUAUUCGGAAUCACUGGGCGUAAAGCGUGCGUAGGCGGCUUUGCAAGUUGGGAGUGAAAGCCCAGGGCUCAACCCUGGAAUUGCUCUCAAAACUGCAAGGCUCGAAUUCGGGAGAGGAUAGCGGAAUUGUCAGUGUAGCAGUGAAAUGCGUAGAUAUUGACAGGAACACCAGUGGCGUAAGCGGCUAUCUGGACCGAUAUUGACGCUGAUGCACGAAAGCGUGGGGAUCAAACAGGAUUAGAUACCCCGGUAGUCC
rnacentral:rRNA from 1 species